CGGGUGAGUAACACGUGAGCAACCUACCUUGGAGUGGGGGAUAACCUUCCCAACGGAGGGCUAAUACCGCAUAUGGCGAUAGUGGGAUAUCCCACAGUCGUGAGAGCCUACGGGCGCUCCUUGAUGGGCUCGCGUCCUAUUAGGUAGUUGGUGAGGUAACGGCUCACCAAGCUGACGAUGGGUAGCCGACCUGAGAGGGUGAUCGGCCACACUGGGACUGAGAUACGGCCCAG
rnacentral:rRNA from 1 species